AAAGCCCCUAAAACUUCAGUUCAAACUGCAUGCCCCAGUCACUUUUGCUUGUUGUCAUCAUUGAGAAGCCAGAAGGGACAAGCCAUCACCAUGAACGAGCCAUCGACCUUAGCAGCUACGACGGCACAACACGAUUGUUCCUCGGGGAGCUCUGCACUUUGUGCACAAGUAAGCCUUCAGGUCGUCUGCAUUGCCUUCCCCGCAUGCUUGUUCAAGUAGGUUGCAUGUCAACCCGACCAACCAAUCAACCAACUAGCAAGAACAGUAAAUAGAAAUUGAUUGAAGCAGCUAGUCACACAAAACAGACCCUGCUCCUACUAAGAUUCAUUCCCAGGCUUGUUAGGCAGCGGCAAGAGCAUGGCGAUUGAGAAGGAGACAAAGUCAACAACAAACCAACCUCCAUUUGGACAGACAAAAAACUAUAAUCUAACGAGGAAAACCACAAGAAUAUAGCCACGGCAGAAUGCUACCAAUACCUACAGCUCGCGGAGCAGUGCUCCCUGGACUAUGGAGCCUCCCCACCCUCAAGAGAGGAAAGACCAGAGGAGCAGAGCUACUGAGCUGGGUGGUAGUGGUGGACGAGGAGGAAGAUUAAGAAAAGAGAAAGAGCAAGACAAUGUUGGGCUGGUUGCUGCAG
rnacentral:lncRNA from 1 species